AUUGAACGCUGGCGGCAUGCCUUACACAUGCAAGUCGAACGGUAACGCGGGGCAACCUGGCGACGAGUGGCGAACGGGUGAGUAAUGUAUCGGAACGUGCCCAGUUGUGGGGGAUAACUGCUCGAAAGAGCAGCUAAUACCGCAUACGACCUGAGGGUGAAAGCGGGGGAUCGCAAGACCUCGCGCAAUUGGAGCGGCCGAUAUCAGAUUAGGUAGUUGGUGGGGUAAAGGCCCACCAAGCCAACGAUCUGUAGCUGGUCUGAGAGGACGACCUGCCACACUGCGACUGAGACACGGCCCAGCCGCCUACGGGAGGCAGCAGUGGGGAAUUUUGGACAAUGGGCGCAAGCCUGAUCCAGCCAUGCCGCGUGCGGGAAGAAGGCCUUCGGGUUGUAAACCGCUUUUGUCAGGGAAGAAACGCUCUGGGUUAAUACCUCGGGGUAAUGACGGUACCUGAAGAAUAAGCACCGGCUAACUACGUGCCAGCCGCCGCAGUAAUAC
rnacentral:rRNA from 1 species